rnacentral:sRNA from 1 species
AAAAAAAUAAUGUGAAGACCUGAAGUUUGUCUGACUAAUGUUACUGAAACAUUUGCCUUGGCCUCAUAUACUCCUUCUUGUGUUUGUGUGUGUGCAUGAGCACAUGGGUUCACACGCCAUAGCGUCCAUGUCAGGGACAACUGUUGGAGUCAGCUCUUUCUACUUCAUGGCAUCACUUGACGAUAUCUGAGACAUAUCACCAGUCCUCUUUCUUUUAGGUUCUAACUUGUCAGGCUACCGAAGUAAGAAAGAACCUUCAUCUAUAAAGCAAAUUCCCCUGGAAUGAAAGUUGUACAUUGCUAUAGACCACAUCAAUCUUGAUAUCAAAAUUUGUACAGAGAUUGGGGGAGAAAUGUGGAUAUACAAUUUCUUCCCUGUGGUUUUAUGAAUGUGCUUCUAAGGUUUUAUGGAUAUGUAUGGAUACACGUUUUUUCCCACAUGACAUAGAUAUACUGCAAAGACAUUCAUUCGAUUCUGACAUCACUCCACUUAGAUUGUAACACUGAUUUCACAUUUAUCAGCUAAUAAGUAUGGGCCAGUUACUUGACUCCUCCAAAAUUUUGGCUUUCUCACUUCUAGAAUGUUGCCUGUUUCUCAGAACUUAGAGAACUAAAGGAUUGAGCACAGCUGUGUUAGAACCAUCGGCCCAUACAUGGGAGCAGUUAUUUAUUCUUCAAGUCUAGAUCAGCUCUGUCCUGAGAAGACUAUUGUUUCCAAUGCAGUUAUCUUUAAUUCAUCCCUAUUCCAUCAUCAGUAGAAUGUCUCCUGACUGAGAAAGGUUUGGUGGUGGCAGUGAGUUUCUUUGGAUUGUAGACUUUUAGAGUCACUUGGAACUGAAAUGAACUCCAAGUCUUCUUGCUUGGAUUCAUGGCACACAAAGAAGAUCAAGUUUGCAAGGCUUUGAUCUUAUUUAGGUUUUCCUUACAGGGUUUAGGACAAUCAAUAGCUGUUCAUUAAUGAAAGAGUGUUGCCCAAAGGGAAUCUCAUGAAUGAAAGAGCUGUAGAAAGCUAUGGAAGACCCAUUACCCUCCUGGUGCUUCUCUUGCCAUAGGGCUUGCUUGGGGGACAGUGGUAAAGAACAGGGACAUCUUCCAGCUUGUGGAAAACACCAAAGAAGGCCAUCUGACUUAAUAUACAUCCCUCAUAUGUGCCUCAUGCUUGCGUGCGCACGUGCGCGUGCACACACACACACACACACACACACACACACACACGGGGUAGGGAUAAAAAGUGAAGGAACAGGUAGCUCAAAUACUUCUCUUUGAGGUAGCCAUUUUCAACCCUGAGUUAUCACUUAUUCAUUUAGACUGAAAUUGCUUCUCUAUCACUCUCUUCAAGCCUUUUUGUUCAAAAGACCAGGUAGUUGCAGUGUUCUUUGAACAGGGAACCAAGCCGCACCACUUGAGGGGGCAGAUGCAGAACUUUUGGAAUCCUUCAGAGUUCACACAGAGGGUGGAAGAACUAAGCUUCCUUCAGUGACUCAGUGGAUGGAGAUUAAUGCUCAAUUUCCUGUUCCCUGGCUUUCCUGGAGAAUGCGUCUUUCAGCAGACCUAUUGUCCACAUCUACCACUCUACAAAAUGUUCAUUGGCUAUCCCAAAGACAGUUAUGAGCCACAAGGGUUUUCCUGUGCCCUCUUCUCAGAUGUGUCAGCUGUGAAAACAUUGUGCCACCCUGAGUUCCAGUGUUGAAGAAAGAGCUUCCACCCUAUCAUUAUACCAAGCUAGCACCCUAUUAUCAGAGAAGGCAAUUUUAAUGCAAAAGAACAUGCUUUACCUUUUACCCCCAAACAAGUAAGCAAAGUAAAUAAAUAAAUAUGUGCUCAUUAGACUGAA